rnacentral:tRNA from 1 species
CGGCAUAGCUCAGCUGGCAGAGCAACUCAUUCGUAAUGAGUAGGUCGUUGGUUCGAAUCCGAUUGCCGG